rnacentral:lncRNA from 1 species
AUUUCCAGACAGCUAGUGACCAGGGCUGAGAACCUGCCCCAGACCACCAGCCUCCCUAUUGAGAAAGCAAGCCGACUCACAGUUUUUCUGCAUCUCAGGGAGCCUGCAGCGGUGAUCCAGUUCUUUCAAAGGGUUUGUGGAUUCUCUCGGCUUUCCUGUUUUUCUCCAUAAAGAUCUGAUCCACUCUGAGAAUGCUAAGAAAACCCAGUCUCCCAAGUCCACAGAGCUAAGAAUCAGAUUCUGAAGUGAGGAGUCUGAGAACAUGAUGCCCUGUACAGGUGGAACCUGUGCCUUAUUUCUAACCAAUAAAACACAGAAAAUGGGACAGAUAUCACUUCCAUGACCAGUUCAUCUUGGCAUUUUAAAAAGAUCACAACAUUAGCACACACAUGAAGAUAAGAAGAAAAGAGGCCAUGCCUGCGGAAUUAUGCCAGUGCUUUUCAGGCUCUGUGGAAAGUCAGCUACCUGGAGUACCUCCUUGAAAUCUGGAGAACAAAGAUGCUCAUCAUCAGAUUCCAGUUCUAGUGGGGAAAUAAAGUUACUAAAAGUUCAUGCACAGGGAUGUUGAGCUAGUUUUAUUUUUCUCCCUUGGAUAUUGG